GACGAACGCUGGCGGCGUGCUUAACACAUGCAAGUCGAACGGAAAGGCCCUGCUUUUGUGGGGUGCUCGAGUGGCGAACGGGUGAGUAACCCCUGAGUAACCUUCCCUUUAAUUUUGGGUAACUUUAGGGAACUGGGGCUAAUACCGGAUAGGAGUUUUUGCUGCAUGGUGGGGGUUGGAAAGUUUCGGCGGUUGGGGAUGUACUCGCGGCUUAUCAGCUUGUUGGUGGGGUAGUGGCUUACCAAGGCUUUGACGGGUAGCCGGCCUGGGAGGGUGACCGGCCACAUGGGGACUGAGGGACGGCCCAGAAGCCUACGGUACGCAACAGUGGGAAAUAUUGCGGAAUGGGCGGAAGCCUGAUGCAGAAGCGCCGCGUGCGGGAUAACGGCCUUCGGGUUGAAAACAACUUUCGCAGGAAACAAGCCCUGAUUGACGGUACUUAAUAAGAAAGCAACGGCUAACUACGUG
rnacentral:rRNA from 1 species